CAAUAGCGUAUAUUAAAGUUGUUGCGGUUAAAAAGCUCGUAGUUGGAUUUCUGCUGAGGACGACCGGUCCGCCCUCUGGGUGAGUAUCUGGCUUGGCCUUGGCAUCUUCUUGGAGAACGUAGCUGCACUUGACUGUGUGGUGCGGUAUCCAGGACUUUUACUUUUGAGGAAAUUACGGUGUUCAAAGCAGGCUUUUGCCAUGAAUACCUCAGCAUGGAAUAACAGUGACGCUUUCGUUUCUCUGUUGGUUCAAGAAACGUGGGGCUAUGAUUAAUAGAGCCAGUCGAGGGCAUUCGUAUUGAACAGUCAGAGGUGAAAUUCUUAGAUUUGUUCAAGACGAACAACUGCGAAAGCAUCUGCCAAGGAUGGGCUCAUUAAUCAAGAACGAAAGUUAGGGGAUCGAAGAUGAUUAGAU
rnacentral:rRNA from 1 species